rnacentral:rRNA from 1 species
AUGGCUAGGAGAUACGACUCCGAGUGGGAGGAAGUGAAGCUUAUCAAUGGCUACGCCAUGCUUAUGGCGUACGUGUCGUUCGCCUGCAGAGGCAUAGGCUACCUGGUGUUCACAUGGACCACGGUGGUUCUUCUCGGCGGAUUCGUCUCCAACAUCGACAAGGACGAUUUCUGGCGUCUCACAUUGAUUACCCUUGUGCAGAUUCUCUGGUUAGUAUAA